CAGGAAGCAGCUUGCUGCUUUGCUGACAAGUGGCGGACGGGUGAGUAAUGUCUGGGAAACUGCCUGAUGGAGGGGGAUAACUACUGGAAACGGUAGCUAAUACCGCAUAACGUCGCAAGACCAAAGAGGGGGACCUUCGGGCCUCUUGCCAUCGGAUGUGCCCAGAUGGGAUUAGCUAGUAGGUGGGGUAACGGCUCACCUAGGCGACGAUCCCUAGCUGGUCUGAGAGGAUGACCAGCCACACUGGAACUGAGACACGGUCCAGACUCCUACGGGAGGCAGCAGUGGGGAAUAUUGCACAAUGGGCGCAAGCCUGAUGCAGCCAUGCCGCGUGUAUGAAGAAGGCCUUCGGGUUGUAAAGUACUUUCAGCGGGGAGGAAGGCGAUGAGGUUAAUAACCUCGUCGAUUGACGUUACCCGCAGAAGAAGCACCGGCUAACUCCGUGCCAGCAGCCGCGGUAAUACGGAGGGUGCAAGCGUUAAUCGGAAUUACUGGGCGUAAAGCGCACGCAGGCGGUCUGUCAAGUCGGAUGUGAAAUCCCCGGGCUCAACCUGGGAACUGCAUUCGAAACUGGCAGGCUAGAGUCUUGUAGAGGGGGGGUAGAAUUCCAGGUGUAGCGGUGAAAAUGCGUAGAGAUCUGGAGGAAUACCGGUGGCGAAGGCGGCCCCCUGGACAAAAGACUGACGCUCAGGUGCGAAAAGCGUGGGGAGCAAAACAGGAUUUAGAUACCCUGGGUAGUCCACGCCCUAAAACGAUGGCCAACUUGGGAAGGUUGUGCCCUUUGAAGGCGUGGCCUUCCGGGAGCUAAACGCCGUUAAAGUCCGACCCGCCCUGGGGGGAGUAACGGGCCCGCAAAGGGUUAAAAACCUCCAAAAUGGAAAUUUGGACCGGGGGGGCCCCC
rnacentral:rRNA from 1 species